AGGCUGAACAAUCCUAAUUCUCUGAGCCUUUCCUUCUAAGAGAGGUGCUCCAUCCCUCUAGUCAUCUUGGAAGAAGCAAUUGAAAUGGA